rnacentral:antisense_RNA from 1 species
UUGGCCCGCGCUGCUGCUUCCUGUGUGUACUGGAUGUUCUCUAGGCUCGCCCAGCGUGGAAGCCCCGAGUUACCAGCCGCAACGUGGAAACCACAAAAGGGGAAAUAGAUGACUUUUGGUUAUCCAGAUCUCUUUGAAUCUUGUUCCUGUCAACUGACUUAUUAGUGCCAUCUCCUAAUUCUGUGUCAACUUAACACUUGACAAGCCUGCUGUCUUUCCCUUCAUCCAAGUUGCCAAUAAAAAUGCUCAACAAGGCAGAGUGCUUUAGCAAGACCUGGAGAGAUCUCCUACAGGGUCUCAAUGGAGCCUGAUGAAUGAAUCAAUUGCAUGAGUACAUUCCACACAUGGGAACCCAGGGAUGGCUGCCAUCAUGCUAUACAAAGUACAGAUCAUCACUGAACAUUAGGCUGGCAGCUCUGAAUGGGGCUGGCAAAGAGCAGCAGAGGUUCAUGGCCUGGAUUUUCUCUGAUCUCAUUUGUAUCCUUCAUCCUAAAUUUAGUUUUGUUUUUUGAAAUGGUUUAUCUUUUAAAAACCAUAUACCUGUUUUACAAGGAUCUCACAAAGAUUAACAAUAUGUAUGCUAUGAAGGAUCCCAUCUGCCUCAGAGAAGAUACGCUUUUCAUCACAGACUGUAUACUUUUUACAGUUCUUAUCUAUUUAUUCUACUGCAAAAACUGCCGAUUCUACAGAGCCUAUUAAUUUCACUGGGAAAACAUGUACGGAAUGUGCUCAUGAGUAUGGGACUUCCUGUAAUUGUUGGAAAGAAGAAAAAGGCUGAUAGAAAAAACAUUUUGGCCUGGCACUCAGGAGAAAACUUCUGCUGAGGAAUGAACAGGGAAAAACAAUGAUGGACCACCUCAAGGAACAAAUCGGAUAGCUUCGACUUCCCCUCUGGAAGCCCUGCUGCGCUGGGAUGCACCUAUCCCUACUUCUUAGAUGUUCCCAUAUGUUCUCAACAGCAUUCUGUCCCUCCCAAGGAGUGUCACUAAAGCUAGCUGGUCUCUUAGGAUUGUUACCUUUAUUGAUGAUUUUCCCUUUAUGCUUCCUGGUGUCUGGCACCAAGACCACACCCCUACUUCUCCAAUGGCCCUUUCCCUCAGUAAGCUUAGCUUAUUGCUCACCUCCCACCUUCUCCCUGAACCCCAGCAGAAAGACAUGGACCUGUCAGAUGCUCCCGAUAUUUAAGUGUCUAUGCCAAAAUCUCAUGUGGACCUUGUUUGUUCAAAUGAGUUACUGUUGAGAGAGACAGCAAAGUCAUCUUCUUUAGGGAACCUGAAAAUUGUCUUCAGUCUGAAAAUUGUCUUCAGAAGAAGGAGCAAAAGAUAGGUGACAGGGAGAGCAUAAGAGGAGAGCCAUGUAUUCUCCUGACCAUGAGCUCGCGGUAGAUAAACCCCUGGUUACCUGAAGGCAGCACCGUGAGCGCCAUCCGCUGUGACUCAUCGGAUGCUUGAUUAAUCCACUUGCUUGGGUGUCCAUGGAGCUGCCACUCUGCCACCCUACACCAGUACAUUCCUGCAUCCUCCAUCUCCACCUGAUGAAGCUUCAGGACAAAGUCUGUAGAGGAUGAACGGUAACAGUGCAGGUGCCUCCUGAGCCCCUCUUCCCCAUACUCCAGCAAGCCAUCAUGUUGCAAGUGCACCAGCAAUUUACUUCCAGAGUUUUCUCUGUUCCAGUACCACAUCACAGAGUACAGAGUGGCUGAGCUGCCUACACUCUCCAGGCUGCAGCGGAUGGCCACUUCUCUGUACUCAGUCACAUUUUCGGUCCAGUACACUUUGGAGACACGUACCUUACUUCCUAGAAAAUAAAAUGGCAGUAAAUUAG